GAUUAAAAUACAUUUAUUUAAGAUUGUUUUUUUUAUUAAUACAUUAAUAUAUAUACACAGUAAUAUGUACAUAUGUAUAUAUGUAUGUGCAUUUACUGUAUGUGCAUACAUAUGUAUAUUUGUAUGUUAAGUCUGCAAUCCGUGUGCGUUAGUUUGUUUGUUCUUCAUUCGUAGAUCUGCCAUCACAACGUGCACUCAUCAUCAACACCAUUCCCACCCAUUGCAUCUCCUCCAAUGAGAGUAACAGUGCCAAAAACUUGCCUGCGGUCCAGAAUGGCUCAGAAGCCUUCAUAUGUACAUAUGUAUGAACAUACAACCGUCAAUAAAAAACUGUACAGCCAUGUAUAUAUGUUUGAAUUUAUGUAUGGUUGUAUGCAGGUACGUACACAGAUGUAUGUAAGUACAACUAUGCAUACAUAAAAAUAUACAUACCGUAUAUAUUCUUUAUCGUAUGUAAGUAUGUGCGAGUAUUGUAUACAAAUAUGAAAAAUAAUAUCUUUCGAUUCAGAUAUUGUGUUAACGUCUAUACAUAGUGCAUACAUAAGUAUAUAUAUAUAAGUAUAUCUAUUUACAUAUACAUACAUACCUAGACAGAACAAAAAAUACUGAAAUUAUUGAAAGCAAACACAAACGAUAAUCGAUAACAAUAACACUAGUGCAAUAAAUUGAUAGGAAUUACCGAUAAUGUACUAAGCCGGAAACGGAAACGAACUGUAACACGAACAAAGACAACGCAAUGAAGUGAGUACGUGUAUAUAUGUAUAUGUAUACAUAUGUACAUACAUGCAUAUCUACAUAUGCCAGAGCACGAAGUCGUAUUUGUUCGUUAUGCGCCCCUCAUAUUCGACUUCGUGCUCUGGCAUAUGCAGAUAUGUAUGUAUGUACAUAUGUAUACAUAUACAUAUAUACACGUACAAACCCACAAACCAUAUACUUAUAAGGGACGAUUAGCUUCUAACGAUAAAUGAUAGAUGUUAACUAACGUGAAUUUUGGGCAGUCCAAUUUUUGUUAUUUGCGAUUUCCAUAUAUGUUUGUAUAUGUGUAUGUACAUAUACAUAUUUAUGUAUACAUACUUACAAAUAUUAAUAUGAAUUAACACAUUAUUAAUAGAGCGAAACGGAAAAGGAAUUAGAGCGAGAGCAAAACGUAUAUACAUACACAUAUGUAUGUACAUAUGUACACACGUAUGUAAGCUUAUGGACAUGAGCGUGUAUGGAAAUAUGAAAUACAUAAAUGCAUACAUAUGUACAUGGAUGCAAAGAAAGUCUAAGAGAAUUUCCCUAAUCCCAAGUCCUCGAAAUCCAAUCGAAAUUGCGUUAAUAUGUAUGUACGUAUGUACGAAAAAUACAACAUUACAAUGUUAUGUGAAAAUUGAAAAUGAAAAUUAUUUUAAGCAUGCAAAAAUAACAAAUUGAAAAUACAAUUGGACACACAAAGAGCAAAGAAAGAAAAGCUGUAAGGGGAAUAUUGUUAUAGUUAAGAUAUAAGGUACAUAUAUACAUGUGUACAUAAGUAUGUGCAUUCAUGCAUAUAUGUAUAUACAUAUUUCUACAGAAUGUAUAAUGAAUACCUGCAUGUUACAUGUAUAGGUUGCAUGGAAAAUAUUGUAAGAACCCGAGCGGGAAACGAGAACGGCGUGGAGUUGGAACAUCGAUACAUAGUUAAAAAUUGAUGCGAGUGGCCCGAGCAUGAGAACAUAAAUAUAUAAAGCAAAUUUCAACCAAUAAAUGACUGGGUAAAUGACUCAAAAUACAUUUUAAACACAAAACAAAACCAGAAAUAUAUGAAAAAUACAGAAAUGGG
rnacentral:lncRNA from 1 species